rnacentral:tRNA from 2 species
CCGAGUGUAGCUCAGUUGGUAGAGCGAUUGACUGUAGUGUUCUAUACUGUGUUUCAGUAUUCUCGGAAAUCAAUUGGUCGCUGGUUCGAUUCCGGCCACUCGAA